GGGUUCCCCGCGAGAGGCGCCGAAGAGCGCGGGAUCCCAGCGCUGGAGGUUGGCUCGGGCAGUGCCCGCGCACGCGCUCGUCCCUACCCUACGCGGCGCUCGUAGGGUCGUUUUUGUGUGCCAUUCUACCCAGGCAGGCCCUACACCCGGCCGGGGCUGGCGGGGCUGGCGGGUUCAGUGCUGCUUGAUCUUCGUAGCCUGGAACAAAGGGCUCGGGAUUUGACUUCAGCCCGUCGGGCGUGCACUUUGCAAGCCCCCGUGCAACCUCUACCGAUGCAGCCCCGUGUCAGCCCUAAUUGUGUGGGUUAAUUCUGAGUAAGCUCCAAGAAGGACGUGCAGGCAUUGGAGAUCCACGCAGGCCUAAAGGAACCCCUGUGCAGUCAGUCAUGUGCUGCCGGAGGAGUGGAUUCGCUAAACCGUGAUAUAUCGAUUCCCCAAAACGCGUUGUUUCCUUUUUGGUGGAAACCCGGCCCUGAUUCACUUCUCUUGAAUACCUCCUGUCUGCGGGGUACUGUGCUGGGUUCUGGGAAUACGGAAGUUAAAAGAUCCAGCUCAGUUUAGUUGGGGAGGACAGGCGAAUGAGCCGAUAAUAACUAAAGCGUGGUAAACAUUAGGGUAGAGACCCUGGGAAACAAGAAAGAUACUCACCUGACUGGAAGUCCAGGAAGACUUCUCAGAGGAGGUAGCACCCGAGCUAUGUCUCGAAGAAGUAGCAAGAGUGGUUGGAGAAGAUAACCCUGGCCUCGGAAGCUGGAUGAGUACUGUGUUAUUUCCCAGGGAAGACCAGCUGGAGCUUAGGGAGUGAGGAGAAGGACUGAAACCAGGUCCGGAAGAGUCUCUGUGCCCUUCCAGGGAGUUUGGAUUUUGUCCCCAAGGCUGUGGGGAGCCUUUGCAAAAUUGUCUUCAGUGGACUGGAUGAUGCCCACCCCCCUGGGAGAGGACCAUCUCUUUUACUGAUUCCGUCAAUUCAGAUGUUAAUCCCAUCCGAGACACCGUCAUGGACACACCCAGAAAUAACUAGUCUUGGCAUUAGGUGGCCCAGGCAAGAUGACACAAAAUUAGCCAUCGCAAGUAACUAACUACUAAAAGACAAGUUUCUCAUAGCCAUUUUCUGUCUUAAGAAUAGGGAUCUUAGGAGUUCCCGUCGUGGCACAGUGGUUAACGAAUCCGACUAGGAACCAUGAGGUUGCGGGUUCGGUCCCUGCCCUUGCUCAGUGGGUUAACGAUCCGGCGUUGCCGUGAGCUGUGGUGUAGGUUGCAGACACGGCUCGGAUCCCGCGUUGCUGUGGCUCUGGCGUAGGCUGGUGGCUACAGCUCUGAUUCGACUCCUAGCCUGGGAACCUCCAUAUGCCGUGGGAGCAGCCCAAGAAAUAGCAACAACAAUAACAAAAGACAAAAAAAAAAGAAUAGGGAUCUGAGAUUCUUUUUCCAAAACUGAAAUAUUAAAAUCAAGAAGUUCCUGGAGUUCCCAUCGUGGCGCAGUGGUUAACGAAUCCGACUAGGAACCAUGAGGUUGCGGGUUCGAUCCCUGGCCUUGCUCAGUCAGUUAAGGACCUGGCCUUGCCAUGAGCUGUGGUGUAGGUUGCAGACGCGGCUCCGAUCCUGCGUUGCUGUGGCUGUGGUGUAGGCCGGCGGCUACAGCUCCGAUUGGACCCCUAGCCUGGGAACCUCCAUAUGCUGUGGGAGUGGCCCUAGAAAAGGCAAAAAGACACACACAAAAAAAUCUUAGCAGUUCCCUUGUGGCGCCCUGGAUUAAGGAUCCAGCAUGGCUGCGGCUGUGAUGCAGGCCACAGAUGUGACCUGGGUUCCAUCCCUGGCCCAGGAACUUCUGCAUGCCAAGGGCACAGCCAAAAAAAGAAAAAAUAUCAAGGCUUGACUGAGGUGAAAUGUCACCUUGCAGGACUGAAUCACUCCAAUCUAAUAUUUACUUUUCAUUCAUUCAUUCAUUCAUUCACAAAGUAAAUAUGAACAUCUGCUAUAGACAGGAACUGUGCUGGGUGUCUAGGAUAUCCCGGUAGGCAAAAGCAGAUGCUCGUGGAACUACUUUUGCAGAGUCCGAUAUCUAGCCCUGACGUUGAAUAUUUUUUCCUGGGCAUAUUGGUCACUUAUACAUGAUCAUGUCUUAUGAGAAGAUAAUUUUAGGAGUUCCUUUAGUAGCUCAGGGGUUAAUGACCUGACUAGGAUCCAUGAGGAUGUGGGUUUGAUCCCUGGUCUUGCUCAGUAGGUAAAGGACCCAGCAUUGCCAUGAGCUGUGGUGUAGGUCACAGAUGUGGCUCAGAUCCUGCGUGGCUGUGGCUGUGGCAGCUGUAGCUAUGAUUCAACUCCCAGCCUGGGAACCUCCAUAUGCCACAAGUGUGGCCCUAAAAAGCAAAAAAAAAAAAAAAAAAAAAAAAAAAA
rnacentral:lncRNA from 1 species